GAUGAACGCUGGCGGCGUGCCUAAUACAUGCAAGUCGAGCGAACAGAUGAGGAGCUUGCUCCUCUGACGUUAGCGGCGGACGGGUGAGUAACACGUGUAUAACCUACCUAUAAGACUGGGAUAACUUCGGGAAACCGGAGCUAAUACCGGAUAAUAUAUUGAACCGCAUGGUUCAAUAGUGAAAGACGGCUUUGCUGUCACGUAUAGAUGGAUCCGCGCCGCAUUAGCUAGUUGGUAAGGUAACGGCUUACCAAGGCAACGAUGCGUAGACGACCUGAGAGGGUGAUCGGCCACACUGGAGCUGAGACACGCUCCAGACUCCUACGGGAGGCAGCAGUCUGGAAUCUUCCGCAGUGGGCGAAAGCCUGACGGAGCAACGCCGCGUGAGUGAUGAAGGUCUUCGGAUCGUAAAACUCUGUUAUUAGGGAAGAACAAAUGUGUAAGUAACUAUGCACGUCUUGACGGUACCUAAUCAGAAAGCCACGGCUAACUACGUG
rnacentral:rRNA from 1 species